UAGGGAAUAUUAGUAAUGGGCGAAAGCCUGAACUAGCAACACCGCGUGUGCGAAGAAGGCCUUCGGGUUGUAAAGCACUUUUUGAGAGGAUGAGGAAGGACGGUACUAUCAGAAUAAGUCUCGGCUAACUACGUGCCAGAAGCCGCGGUAACACGUAGGAGGCAAACGUUAUCGGGAUUUACUGGGCGUAAAGCGCGUGUAGGUGGUUUGGUAAGUAGAGCGUGAAAGCUCCUGGCUCAACUGGGAGAGGUCGUUCUAAACUGCCGGACUAGAGGAUGGUAGAGGGAGGUGGAAUUCCGGGUGUAGCGGUUGAAUGCGCAGAUAUCCGGAGGAACACCAGUGGCGAAAGCGGCCUCCUGGACCACUCCUGACACUCAGACGCGAAAGCUAGGGUAGCAAACG
rnacentral:rRNA from 1 species